GAGAGAGAGAGAGAGAGAGAGAGAGAGAGAGAGAGAGAGGGAAGAAGAAAUAGGAAGAAAAGAGUUUUUCAAGGUCUCUCUCCUGAUCUUGAUUUGGCAGCAGUUCAAAAACAUUAUCCAUCUGAGGUUGAAAACAAAGGAUUUAAAGGCCAGAGACCAAAAUAAUCGAAAUACACAUUUCUGUCCAAUCCUCAAACAUUAAGGUGGCGGCG